rfam:TPA: Bos taurus chromosome 11, whole genome shotgun sequence.
UGGCUCAGAUGGUAAAGCAUCUGCCUGCAAUGCAGGAGACCCAGGUUUGAUCCCUGG